rnacentral:snRNA from 1 species
GUGCUCACUUCGAAAGCACAUAUACUAAAAUUGGAAUGACACAAGAUUAGCAUGGCUCCUGUUCAAGAAUGACACAGAUAUUCAUGAAGUGUUCCAAUUAAAA